UUUGGUCUUGACUCUUUCAAUCAAGCUCCUCGCGUUGGUAAGUUUUUUCAUGCAAUCUCUCUCUUUGUUUCUUCACUCUUUCAAUGUUGGUCCAUCUUUGUUCUAUUUAUCAUCUGGUUGGACCUCUCUGCUUUGGUAAUCUUUCUUUAUUUUUUGUACGAUUUGGUGGAUAAUAUGAUAGUUUCUAUUCUUUUGAAGGAAAUUUAUAACAAGAAAUUGCUCAUGCAUGUCACUAAUUGUACCAAAUUUCAUUUACCUUAUUAUAUUCUUAUUAAGGAAUCUAGUAAUUUGACCCAGGGUUUGAACUUGGGGUUUUGAGCAUUCGAUCAAAUUUUUACUUCAGAGUUGGACUAAUCAGUUGAAAUGCCAUAUUAGUAUUGAGCACGUUGAUAAAGGUCCAAUUCAUGACGGAAUGGUUACUUUCUCUUUCGAAGAAUCAACAUGUUUUAUUUUGACCUUCUAAAGGUGAGAUUUUGGGAGCAGUAGUUAUCAUGGUCAACAAGGUAAAAACUAUAACUUUUCUCUAUUGUUCCUCAUCAAUCCUUCCUCUCCAUUCAAACUCUCUUUUUUUUACUCUUUUUCCAGUUAUCUGUGUUUUUGCCCUAUUAUUAUUUUAUACGCAAAUUCUG
rnacentral:lncRNA from 1 species